UCGGGAAUUUUGCGCAAUGGGCGAAAGCCUGACGCAGCAACGCCGCGUGAGGGAUGAAGGCCUUCGGGUUGUAAACCUCUUUUCUCAGGGACGAUAAUGACGGUACCUGAGGAAUAAGCCACGGCUAACUACGUGCCAGCAGCCGCGGUAAUACGUAGGUGGCGAGCGUUGUCCGGAUUUACUGGGCGUAAAGAGCGCGCAGGCGGUCGUGCAAGUCGCGUGUGAAAGCCCCCGGCUCAACUGGGGAGGGUCACGCGAUACUGCUCGACUUGAAGGCAGGAGAGGGAAGCGGAAUUCCCGGUGUAGUGGUGAAAUGCGUAGAUAUCGGGAGGAACACCAGUGGCGAAGGCGGCUUCCUGGCCUGUUCUUGACGCUGAGGCGCGAAAGCUAGGGGAGCAAACGGG
rnacentral:rRNA from 1 species